GCCUUGCUCUGUUUUAAUCUUCAUGCCGAGCAUGUCUGCAGCCAUGCGGGCGCCGCCUUCUUUGGGGCCUCGGCACCAGUGUGCUUCAGUUUCUGGGGAAAAGUAUUGCAAUGCAUUCAGUGGUGAGGUGGUGCCGAGUCGUGGAGGCGCAAGAUUGGCACUGGCGUUGCGAAAAGGAGGUGGGUUUCCCGUAGAUAGCACUGGGAAUGGGCGUAAAACCAGGAAGGCACAGCGAUCGAGGGGUUUUGAUGCUGCGGGGGCAAUCGCGAAGGCCAGCAGGAAGUUCAGAUAGAUCAGGAUAGGAUGCAGGAGGUGGAGAAGGUUAAGAUGGAUCUCCUUCGAGCAGUGAUGGACACUAAAAGGGGUGCACAGGUCACGACAGAGCAGCGUGCCGCAGUAGAAGACGCCAUGAUGGGUGUGGAGAAGUACAACGCGGGAACACCGUUAGUGCUGGACCAACUGCACGGGACUUGGUUACUCCAGUAUACAACUGCCUCUGAAAUCGUAUCGCUCAUACAAGCUGCUGAUCAAUUCCCUCUGCUGCAGGUUGGACAGUUGUACCAGUGCUUUGAUUGCCAAGGGAGAACAGAUGGUGGGACAGUAGAGAACAUUGUGCGCUGGAGUGUGUCAGGACUUUUACAGUUUUACCUUGGUUUCUAUAGCUGUCCGUGUAAUGCAAACACUGAUGGAGCUUAGUGUGAAUUUCUCUGUCAACGGCUUUAGUUGAUCGAGUUAGUAUUUCAUCACUCUUCUAUGUAGAAGAACGAGGGUGCAACUUUUAACGUCGUAGCCAAGUUUGCAAUGGUUGGUCCACGAAUCAUCGUUAUCCAAAAAGUAGAGGCAAGGCUUGGUGAGGUUAAGUCCAGAAUUGGAGUCAUUCAUUGCUCCAGCACUUUUACCUCGAACUUUCAUCAACUUCCAGGUGUGUUGCUACGGAUUUCUUUAGUAACAAUGAGCUUCGACAUUAAUCAGUUUCAUAGCCAUGUACAUUUUGUAGUUGUAAUUUCAUGAUCUUUUUAACCUAUUAAUAAGAAUAGUUGACUUCAUGUUACCAAGUUCUAUGAGGUGAUCAUUGAAAUUUCUCCUUCACAGCUUUUGAUGUUUCUGCGGA